rnacentral:tRNA from 1 species
GCGGACGUGGUGGAAUUGGCAGACGCGCUGGAUUUAGGUUCCAGUGGGCAAACCCGUGCAGGUUCAAGUCCUGUUGUCCGCACCA